rfam:Gossypium arboreum cultivar AKA8401 contig_37637_3, whole genome shotgun sequence.
UAUUAAAUUUUCUAUCAAUUUGUUCUUUUAAAAAUUGACAAGGUUGUCAGAAUAACCAGACAAAUAACCAGACAAUAACAAAUGGCAUGCCAUUUUUACCUCAUGUCGACAUACAACGACCAGUUUUUAAUAGUAAAAAUGGAUGAAAUAUUUAACA